rnacentral:lncRNA from 1 species
CUACAGCCACAGGUGAGCAGCCUUUUAUGGUUUCUACUGUGCCAGCCCUGGAUGGCAACAUAUCGUAUUUUCGGACAGCUAAAUUCUUGUUCCUAGGAUUUGAUUGUAGUUUUAGGGUGGCUUAUGCUAUGUAUGGGUAUGUAUGGGAAGCGGGAUCGUAUCUGAUUGUCUAAAGGCUCGAGUCGAAACUAGAUUUACAAGUAUUGCGUGCUAGAGAGCGUAGAGAGUGCGGCAGAGGAGACAUAGCCACAGCCAGAACAGGAAACUUGAACUCCACUAUACUUCAUGGACAUAGCCAAGCCGGCAGAGACUGGGGGAAGUGGCUGGGAAAAUGCGGAAAGCCUUUCUCAUAUUUUUGCAUGAACUCAUCACAGAGAGACGAUUUAUCUGCUCAACGAGUGCCCGAAUAUAAUGUACAUACAUAUAAUGUCGUUGAAUGAAAAUUCUGGCAUACUCGUGUGUGUGUAUGGAGUGUGAGCGUGUAGACUGUGUAUGUACAUAAUGUAGAACACACCCGCACACAGAUGUCUGUCUGUCAUUGCAGACUUAUUACUGCCUGUGACUAUAUGUAUAAUAUUGAGCUUCGAAUAAAUAGUUUUGUUGAUAAAAAACAAACCUCACACACAUAGUACGAGGGAAGGGGCGGAAGCCGCUCGGGAGGCGGCCAGCCCGAGAGACGAGACUCUCGAUUCGACUCGAG